AUGUGUGUGUGUAUGUGUAUGUGUGUGUGUGUGUGCGUAUGUGUGUGUGUAUGUAUGUGUGUAUGUGUAUGUGUGUGUG
rnacentral:miRNA from 1 species